UUUAUUGGAGAGUUUGAUCCUGGCUCAGGAUGAACGCUGGCGGCGUGCCUAAUACAUGCAAGUCGAGCGAAUGGAUUAAGAGCUUGCUCUUAUGAAGUUAGCGGCGGACGGGUGAGUAACACGUGGGUAACCUGCCCAUAAGACUGGGAUAACUCCGGGAAACCGGGGCUAAUACCGGAUAACAUUUUGAACUGCAUGGUUCGAAAUUGAAAGGCGGCUUCG
rnacentral:rRNA from 1 species